CUCAGAUGAGCUGAGAAGCCGGGCUGCUUGUUCACCUGAAGAGAGCUUCCAGUCUGCAUGAAAGAUGAUGCCUCAGCCACUCCCAGAGGGCCCCUUAUUUAUUGUUCACUGUAACUUCUCUCUCCUACCAGCAACCAGAGACUGGCUCGAUAGACUUCUGUGAUGACAGGUGACCAAAAGGAUCACUUUCCCCCCAAAAUGCCUUGUUUUGACAGGUAUCUGGAAGAACAAAAAGGCAGCUCUUUUAUUCUAAAUACCAAGGCACUGAAAACAAAGGGAGAACUCUAUGUACGUAUUUAACUCCCUAGGCAAGUGAGCCUCAUGACUUGGGAUCAUUACUUCCUCCAAUGCUAGCCUUAAAUGGAGAACUGUGUUAAUAGUCUCUCAGUAUUUGCUUAAUGGCUUUCAAACUGGUCCAUCUCUCCACGCAAAAGGAAUAUAAAAAUUAAGUCCUGGGGCAGUGGAAAAUAUCCACAUCAGCAGAAGUUGGGACAGUCCUCAAGCAAAGAGAAGAGCAGUAAUGGAAAGUCCCUAAGAGAGGUGGAAGAAGAGAUGAGAGCAAACAGAAGAUGAAGCAGAUGCAAGAAGCAUCUGCUCAGGAAGGUCAGGAAGCAUGAGGAGGAAUGGGAAAAGGAAAUGGUCUGGCUGUAAAGAGAGGCUGAUAUAAACAGGAGAGGGGACAGUCAUGCAUCUGCAUUGCCAUGCCCAGCUUUGCCUUCAGGAGCUCAGGGAUAAUGCUCACAGAUUGAAGAGUGUGCAUGGAGGAGCUAUGCACACAACAUCAGCCACCACAGAACAAACCUUUAGGUGAAAACUCAACAAGAACAGCUGUUUCAAGGAGAGAAAAAAAAAAAAAAAGAUCCACUGCCUUCUGGAUAAAACCAAAAAUUCUGGUCAAAUGUCAGGUACAUCAGCAAAGACAACCAACCCCUGGGCCAACUCACAAGGGCCAGGUUAGUUUUCGUGGCUAAUCAUUUCAAGACUGGGUCUGGAUGCUUCUCUUGGAGGCAAGCGGUAGUUCAAGUACAGAUUUAUGAAAUGCAGGAUUAGCCUGGAGACAAUUCUUACAGCCUCCUCUAGCUUUGUGCACUUACUCAAGACCCAAAGAGGUGGGGAGGUGGGUGAAAGAGGUGGGGCAGGGAAAGAAAGUAAAGAGAUAGAGGGAAACAAAGAAAGCAUGUUGAUAAUCAUAGAAUCACAGAAUGGCCUGGGUUGAAAAGGACCACAAUGACCACCUGGUUUCAACCCCCCUGCUAUGUGCAGGGUCGCCAACCACCAGACCAGGCUGCCCAGAGCCACAUCCAGCCUGGCCUUGAAUGCCUCCAGGGCAUCCACAACCUCCUUGGGCAACCUGUUCAGUGUGUCGCCACACCCUGUGUGAAAAACUUCCUCCUAAUAUCUAGCGUAAACCUCCCUUGUCUCAGUUUAAAACCAUAAUGAACUAGAAUGAGGAAAAACAGCCUAAAAAGAGAAAGCACAAUAUGCAUAAUAAUUUUAUUUCUUCUCAUUGAACACACGUGGGAAAUAAACUGGACAAGAGAAACCAACUCUGUGCAGGAGAAUGGGGCUGGAAAUACAAAAGAAAGCUUUGUUUUUUUUUCUUUGUUUCAGAAUAUUUUUUCAAGGGUGAUUUUUUUCAAGGGUGCAGUUCUUAGCACCAGAGAAGCCAGGUCCAGCUCACCCUGUGGCACAUUUACCACCAGGUGAUGCACGAUGCCUUGUGACAGUAAGGCAGAAAAAUGCUCAACAUGCCCCCCAGCCACGCUUACACUGCAUAAUUCUUGCAGAUGACAAGAAUCCUUAGAGCCAGUGACCUCAUCUCCAAAUGAAAUGUAUAAACAGAUGCUCUUCUAAAGCCACUGUAUUCCUCCACAUGCUGCCUCGAUCGAUACAGCUGUGGUUUACUUACUCCACCGUUCCAAGUUACGUGACGAGGUACAACUGCGAAACUCUACCUGGACUUCAGCACUGGGGGGGGGAAUUGGAUGUGUGCAGGCACGGUGAUGUAUGCAAAAAAGAAAGGAGACACCAGGAUAUGAGGUAUCAGUGUAUGAAAGCACAGGAAGCACAAGACUACCAAUGUGAAGUGUCUCUCAUGGCAUCCUCCAGCAACAGCUCUGGGGUGAAGUGACAGAAUCACAUCAAAUUGGAUUCUCUGCGUAAUGGCACAAAGACCUGAACAUUAUAAUCAGGGGUAGCUAAGCAGGUAAAUUGUAAAGAGCAAAUCUAAAAGUAGUGAUCGAUUCAUUAGCCACAGAAGCUUUGAAACAAGUUCUUUUGUCUUGGUUAUAGUUUCCAUCAAUGAACACAGCAAGGAAGUUGGUUUACUGCAGCAGAGCGUGCUUCUGUUGCCUUUGCUGGUCCAUGAGAGAGAUCAGUUCUCUCAGCAGAUCCCAGCUUACGCCUGGCUUUGCUCUAAAAACCACGUCCAGAAAAACACAAGCAACAGGAAGUUCUCAGUGUGUAAACACAAGGUAAAAGCUUACACUUUCUGCAGCUGAGCACUACCACUAACAACAAUAAAAAGGCAGAAUAUGUGCACAGCAUCAUACCACAUAUAUAAAAAGCCAUAGGCUAAAGCUCAACAUUUGUAGAUAAAUACGACACCUAGAAGUCUUAGGAAAUUAAAACCAGGAGCUUUCUUUUUUUUCUGCAAACCUCCUUUUGCUUUCACCUACAUUCACGUUUCAUGCGCUCAGCUUCUUCAUUCCAAGACAAAGAAAGAAACAAACAUCUGACAGCCUCUUCCCCACCCCUCCAUCUUUUCCUCCUUCAGCCCCAAACGGUCUCUCUGCAGCUGGUGCAAUACUACCCUGGAUCAGCUCCGUGAGCUGCAUUUCCCUGAGCUGCCCCAAGCAGCAUUCACUGUGGAGAUUAUCAGGAAGAGAGACCAAAAUGCUCUUAAUGUAGAGAUAUACUCAAGCGACGAUAGAAUUACUCAGUGAAAUCGAGUGGGGUUAUCAGUGGGGUGCAGUUCUUACUGAGCACUGAGGCGGUUCACUCACACCCCACACACUUUUUAAGUGUUAAACUGCAUAUGCAUUAAAAAUGAAAUGUAUUCCUUCCCAUGUGAGUGUUUCCCUCUGCUUCCAAUCACUCUGCUUCUUGGAGCUCCAUUUCUGGUAAAAGGAACAGUACUUUUGAACCUACCUGUUGCUUUUCAGAUUAAUUUCAC
rnacentral:lncRNA from 1 species